rnacentral:rRNA from 1 species
GAUGAACGCUGGCGGCGUGCCUAAUACAUGCAAGUCGAGCGAACAGACGAGGAGCUUGCUCCUCUGACGUUAGCGGCGGACGGGUGAGUAACACGUGGAUAACCUACCUAUAAGACUGGGAUAACUUCGGGAAACCGGAGCUAAUACCGGAUAAUAUAUUGAACCGCAUGGUUCAAUAGUGAAAGACGGUUUUGCUGUCACUUAUAGAUGGAUCCGCGCCGCAUUAGCUAGUUGGUAAGGUAACGGCUUACCAAGGCGACGAUGCGUAGCCGACCUGAGAGGGUGAUCGGCCACACUGGCACUGAGACACGGUCCAGACUCCUACGGGAGGCAGCAGUAGGGAAUCUUCCGCAAUGGGCGAAAGCCUGACGGAGCAACGCAGCGUGAGUGAUGAAGGUCUUCGGAUCGUAAAACUCUGUUAUUAGGGAAGAACAAAUGUGUAAGUAACUAUGCACGUCUUGACGGUACCUAAUCAGAAAGCCACGGCUAACUACGUG